GAUGAAGAACGUAGCGAAAUGCGAUAAGUAAUGUGAAUUGCAGAAUUCAGUGAAUCAUCGAAUCUUUGAACGCACAUUGCGCCCGCCAGUAUUCUGGCGGGCAUGCCUGUCCGAGCGUCAUUUCAACCCUCGAACCCCUCCGGGGGUCCGGCGUUGGGGAUCGGGAACCCCUAAGACGGGAUCCCGGCCCCGAAAUACAGUGGCGGUCUCGCCGCAGCCUCUCAUGCGCAGUAGUUUGCACAACUCGCACCGGGAGCGCGGCGCGUCCACGUCCGUAAAACACCCAACUUCUGAAAUGUUGACCUCGGAUCAGGUAGGAAUACCCGCUGAACUUAAGCAUAUCAAUAAGCGGAGG
rnacentral:misc_RNA from 1 species